rfam:Alternaria alternata strain SRC1lrK2f unplaced genomic scaffold CC77scaffold_22, whole genome shotgun sequence.
GGACACAUGGCCUAAUGGUAAGGCGCCCGCACACAAUGGCCUUAGCGUCGCCCGGCAUGAAUUCGCUGAAAUUGAGCAUGGGACAGCCAGCACAGAAUUUGCGAAAGUUCGGCACUGGGCAGUCGUGAUGCGGGACAUGCAAGUUCGAGUCUCGCUGUGUCCA